rnacentral:rRNA from 1 species
AUUGAACGCUGGCGGCAUGCCUUACACAUGCAAGUCGAACGGCAGCACGGGAGCAAUCCUGGUGGCGAGUGGCGAACGGGUGAGUAAUAUAUCGGAACGUGCCCAGUAGUGGGGGAUAGCCCGGCGAAAGCCGGAUUAAUACCGCAUACGACCUGAGGGUGAAAGCGGGGGAUCGCAAGACCUCGCGCUAUUGGAGCGGCCGAUAUCAGAUUAGCUAGUUGGUGGGGUAAAGGCCUACCAAGGCUACGAUCUGUAGUUGGUCUGAGAGGACGACCAGCCACACUGGGACUGAGACACGGCCCAGACUCCUACGGGAGGCAGCAGUGGGGAAUUUUGGACAAUGGGCGCAAGCCUGAUCCAGCAAUGCCGCGUGCAGGAAGAAGGCCUUCGGGUUGUAAACUGCUUUUGUCAGGGAAGAAAUCUUCUGGGCUAAUACCCCGGGAGGAUGACGGUACCUGAAGAAUAAGCACCGGCUAACUACGUGCCAGCAGCCGCGGUAAUACGUAGGGUGCGAGCGUUAAUCGGAAUUACUGGGCGUAAAGCGUGCGCAGGCGGC